UACGUAGGGGGCAAGCGUUGUCCGGAAUUAUUGGGCGUAAAGCGCGCGCAGGCGGCAGAUUAAGUCUGGUGUAUAACUCCGAGGCUCAACCUCGGAUCGCACUGGAAACUGGUGUGCUAGAGUGUAGGAGAGGAAAGUGGAAUUCCACGUGUAGCGGUGAAAUGCGUAGAGAUGUGGAGGAACACCAGUGGCGAGGGCGACUUUCUGGCCUAUAACUGACGCUGAGGCGCGAAAGCGUGGGGAGCAAACAGG
rnacentral:rRNA from 1 species